rnacentral:rRNA from 1 species
CUGGUUGAUCCUGCCAGUAGUAARGCUUGUCUUAAAGAUUAGGCCAUGCAUGUCUAAGUAUAAAUAGUAUACAGUGAAACUGCGAAUGGCUCAAAAAAACAGUUAUAGUUUACUUGAUAAUAGAACUCUACAUGGAUAACCGUAGUAAUUCUAGAGCUAAUACAUGCGACCUGCCCGACUCACGAAGGGCUGUAUUUAUUAGUUGUAAACCAACAGUCCUCACGGACUGCUGUGAUGAAUCAUAAUAACUGAUCGGAGCGAGGUCGUCCUCGCUAAAUCAUUCAAGUUUCUGCCCUAUCACUUUGAUGGUAKUAUAUAGGACUACCAUGAGGAUAACGGGUACGGGGAAUUAGGGUUUGAUACCGGAGAGGGAGCCUGAGAAACGGCUACCACUUCUAAGGAAGGCAGCAGGCGCGUAAAUUACCCAAUGUCAAAUCGGCGAGGUAGUGACAAGAAAUAAUAACUCGGGGUCAUACGACUUUACGAGAUUAAAAUGAGAACAAUUUAAAAAUCUUAACGAGGAACAAUUGGAGGGCAAGUCUGGU